AUUGAACGCUGGCGGCAUGCCUUACACAUGCAAGUCGAACGGUAACAGGUCUUCGGAUGCUGACGAGUGGCGAACGGGUGAGUAAUACAUCGGAACGUGCCUAGUAGUGGGGGAUAACUACUCGAAAGAGUGGCUAAUACCGCAUGAGAUCUACGGAUGAAAGCAGGGGAUCGCAAGACCUUGUGCUACUAGAGCGGCCGAUGGCAGAUUAGGGAGUUGGUGGGAUAAAAGCUUACCAAGCCGACGAUCUGUAGCUGGUCUGAGAGGACGAUCAGCCACACUGGGACUGAGACACGGCCCAGACUCCUACGGGAGGCAGCAGUGGGGAAUUUUGGACAAUGGGCGCAAGCCUGAUCCAGCAAUGCCGCGUGCAGGAUGAAGGCCUUCGGGUUGUAAACUGCUUUUGUACGGAACGAAAAGCCCUGGAUUAAUACCCUGGGGUCAUGACGGUACCGUAAGGAUAAGCACCGGCUAACUACGUGCCAGCCGCCGCGGUAAAAC
rnacentral:rRNA from 1 species